rnacentral:rRNA from 1 species
GGGCUGGGGGUGCCUAUACAUGCAAGUCGAGCGGACAGAUGGGAGCUUGCUCCCUGAUGUUAGCGGCGGACGGGUGAGUAACACGUGGGUAACCUGCCUGUAAGACUGGGAUAACUCCGGGAAACCGGGGCUAAUACCGGAUGCUUGUUUGAACCGCAUGGUUCAAACAUAAAAGGUGGCUUCGGCUACCACUUACAGAUGGACCCGCGGCGCAUUAGCUAGUUGGUGAGGUAAUGGCUCACCAAGGCGACGAUGCGUAGCCGACCUGAGAGGGUGAUCGGCCACACUGGGACUGAGACACGGCCCAGACUCCUACGGGAGGCAGCAGUAGGGAAUCUUCCGCAAUGGACGAAAGUCUGACGGAGCAACGCCGCGUGAGUGAUGAAGGUUUUCGGAUCGUAAAGCUCUGUUGUUAGGGAAGAACAAGUACCGUUCGAAUAGGGCGGUACCUUGACGGUACCUAACCAGAAAGCCACGGCUAACUACGUGCCAGCAGCCGCGGUAAUACGUAGGUGGCAAGCGUUGUCCGGAAUUAUUGGGCGUAAAGGGCUCGCAGGCGGUUUCUUAAGUCUGAUGUGAAAGCCCCCGGCUCAACCGGGGAGGGUCAUUGGAAACUGGGGAACUUGAGUGCAGAAGAGGAGAGUGGAAUUCCACGUGUAGCGGUGAAAUGCGUAGAGAUGUGGAGGAACACCAGUGGCGAAGGCGACUCUCUGGUCUGUAACUGACGCUGAGGAGCGAAAGCGUGGGGAGCGAACAGGAUUAGAUACCCUGGUAGUCCACGCCGUAAACGAUGAGUGCUAAGUGUUAGGGGGUUUCCGCCCCUUAGUGCUGCAGCUAACGCAUUAAGCACUCCGCCUGGGGAGUACGGUCGCAAGACUGAAACUCAAAGGAAUUGACGGGGGCCCGCACAACCGGUGGAGCAUGUGGUUUAAUUCAAACCAACCCCGAAAAACCUUACCAGG